CCUCGUCUCCCGGCGGCGCUGAGUGGGUUUGUGGGUCAGUGCUUGCCGGGCAGCUCUCGCGCGCUAAUCGGUGACAGCGUGCGACCCUCGCCCGCCCGCGUGUGCUGCGGAGGAGGUCGGGGCGCAGCCCUCCGCCACGCCGGAGUGAGAAUUGGAAGCAAAUCUCCAGGAGGCCGGAGGCGCGUGUGGCGGCGGGGCUGAGUUCGAGUUUCUUACUUCUAUGGAUCACUGACUGAGUAAUAAAUGGCUUUACCUCGCCUCACAGGAGCCUUGCGCUCCUUUUCAAAUGUCACCAAGCAAGAUAAUUAUAAUGAAGAAGUAGCUGACUUAAAGCUGAAGCGAUCCAAACUUCAUGAACAAGCUUUAGAUUUCGGCCUUUCAUGGAAGAAGAUAGUGAAGUUUUUGAAUGAAAAACUAGAAAAGAAUAAAAUGCAAACUAUAAAUGAAGACUUAAAAGAUAUACUACAAGCUGCAAAACAAAUCGGUAUACCCUUUAAAAAUAAAACCCAAAAUGUUCUAUAACAGGAUCCUUAUAAGCUAUAUAUUAAUAGUAUGUAAUAAAAGGCUAGUCUCCCGGU
rnacentral:lncRNA from 1 species